GCGCCAUGUAUUCAUGAAUACAGCAGCAAAAAGCGCCUAAAAUCAGGACAGUCCAGUUGUACGCGCAUGUAUUCACAUGUAUUCUGCUGUAUUCAUGAAUACAGCAGUAUAAAGCGCCUAAAAUCAUGGCAAUCCAGCUGUACGCGCAUGUAUUCAUAUGUAUUCGCACCAUGUAUUCAUGAAUACAACAGCAAAAAGCGCCUACAAUCAGGGCAGUCCAGCUGUACGCGCAUGUAUUCACAUGUAUUCGCGAUGUUGUAUUCAUGAAUACAACAGCAAAAAGCGCCUAAAAUCAGGGCAGUCCAGCUGUAUGCGCAUGUAUUCACAUAUAUUCGCGCCAUGUAUUCAUGAAUAAAGUAACGACAAUCACCUUAAAAAUAGGUAUGUCCAAUUGUCUAAGAGAGAGGAAAAACAUAAAUAGCGUAUUUAAUACCUUAUUUCAUGCCUCAAUGGUAGUAUAUACCAUAAAUACUUAUUUUGCUAUAAAAUAUAAAAGGUAGCUAUAGAAAAUAAUAUGCCCACCCCUAAUCCGAAAAACCGAAUUCCGAACCGAACCAAAUUAAUUUGGUAUUUCGGUUUCGAUUUUUUCGGUAUAAUUCGGUACAGAAAUUACGGUAUUUCGGUACGGUAUUCGGUAUUGAGUUUUUGAUAUUUUCGAAAUACCGAAAUAUUUAAGUCCAAGCCCAACUCUAUUUCUAAUUUACAGCCCAAUAAGCCUAAGCCCAACACCCUAAGCUCCUAAUUCCCUAAUCACUUAGGCUUAGAGAUAACACAACAGACUUACGUUAGCUUCUUCUGCUUACCCCUUUCCCUUUUCUAACCCUAGAAUAACAGAGGGCGACUACGACUUCACGACCUCGGAGAGCGGCAACGACAACUCCUCUCCUCGGCGACUACUUGUUUGUUCAUUGUUGACCUUCAUUCUACAAUCUUCAAGUCUUCAACAGGUCCAUAAUUUCUUCAUUCUUCAAUCUUGUGGUUUUAUGUUAGUGUUCAACCGAUUCUUUUGUCCUUUUUCACCUCACGCUUUCACCGGCUGGUUGGGUGGUAAAGAUACUUGUUUUAUCACUUUUCCUUUUGUGAAAAUAUGUACUAAUUCACUAUAUAUUUAUUCGGAAGCUCGUUCACUGCCUAAACGAAAUCCUAUUUUCCAGAACACAUUCAAUUGAUUAAGUGAAUUGAAAAUCCCUUCUCUUUUGUACUCAAAAGACUUAUUAUUUUAACAGUUUGGUUACUUAAUGGGUUAAAAGUUACUCUAUAAUGAUGAUAUGGUAAAACUAAUUAGGUUAAGUGUUCUGUUUUUUUGUUCUUCUCAAUAGUACUUUCGACCAACUUUGUUACUUAGUAGUACUAAGUUUUGUUUUUUUAAUUGGUUUUGUUCUAUUUUUAGCAGGUUUGCCGCUGGAGGGGGCUGUAGAUUGAUAUUCAGUAGUACUAUAUUUUGAUUUUAGUUGGUCUUGAUCUAUUUUUAGCAUGUUAGAAGGUCUGUAGAUUGACUGAUGAAUAUAGUGGUUUCAAGAAUGGUGUGCAUUGAAGUUCUUUUGUUGGAGGUUGGAGACAAGGAUUAAUCAAUUGCAUCCUUGAAUUUAAUGACUCUAAAUUGACUGAUGAAUAUAGUAGUUCGGUGGUUUCUGCAUUGCUUCAGAAACUAAGAAGUGAGAAACAUCCUUAUUGUUUAACUGUCUGUUAAAUUUCAUGCUUAUUUCAGUGGGAAUUCUUCAUUGUUAUGUACAAAUUAAGUGUUCUCUGCAUCUAGUGGGACUGUGGGGGUAUUAAUUGUUAUAACUUAUAAAUACAUCAUUAACAGGGACGGUGCAAUACCGAAAUCGUACCAAAUCGUACCGAACCAAACAAGAAAAUACCGAACUACUUUGGUACGGUAUUUGGUAUGCGUAAUUGAUAUACCGAAUACCGAAAUACCGAACCGUAAUUUAUAAAUACCGUACCGAAGUACCGAAGUACCGAAUACCCACCCCUACCCCUAAUAGCUAUCAUAUACAUAAUUACUUCGUAUAGCUACUAUUCAGUUAUUAUGGUAGUGUAUUCGUUGUAUUUGAGUUGCUGUAUUCAUGAAUAUAGCAGCAAAAAGCGCCUAAAAAUUAGGGUAGUCAAGUUGUACGUGCAUGUAUUCACAUGUAUUCGCGCCAUGUAUUCAUGAAUACAGCAGCAAAAAACGCCUAAAAUCAGGACAGUCCAAUUAUACGCGCAUGUAUUCACAUGUAUUCUGUGUAUUCAUGAAUACAGCAGUAAAAAGCGCCUAAAAUCAUGGCAGUCCAACUGUACGCGCAUGUAUUCAUAUGUAUUCGCACCAUGUAUUCAUGAAUACAACAGCAAAAAAGCGCCUACAAUCAGGGCAGUCCAGAUGUACGCGCAUGUAUUCACAUGUAUUCGCGAUGUUGUAUUCAUGAAUACAGCAGCAAAAAGCACCUAAAAUCAGGGCAGUCCAGUUGUAUGCGCAUGUAUUAACAUGUAUUCGCGCCAUGUAUUCAUGAAUCCAGCUGUCUAAGAGAGAGGAAAAACAUAAAUAGCGUAUUUAAUACCUUAUUUCAUGCCUCAACGGUAGUAUAUACCAUCAAUACUUAUUUUGCUAUAA
rnacentral:lncRNA from 1 species